AAAGAGAAGCAAAGCCGCGAGGUAGAGCAAAUCUCAAAAAAACAAUCUCAGUUCAGACUGCAGGCUGCAACUCGCCUGCACGAAGUCGGAAUUGCUAGUAAUCGUAGGUCAGCAUACUACGGUGAAUACGUUCCCGGGCCUUGUACACACCGCCCGUCAAACCAUGAGAGUUGGCAACACCCGAAGUCGGUAGUCUAACCGCAAGGAGGACGCCGCCGAAGGUGGGGUUGAUGAUUAGGGUUAAGUCGUAACAAGGUAGC
rnacentral:rRNA from 1 species